CCUACGGGGGGCUGCAGUGGGGAAUAUUGGACAAUGGGCGAAAGCCUGAUCCAGCCAUGCCGCGUGUGUGAAGAAGGCCUUCGGGUUGUAAAGCACUCUCAGUGGGGAAGAAAGCCUUGGGGCUAAUACCCUCGAGGAAGGACAUCACCCACAGAAGAAGCACCGGCUAACUCCGUGCCAGCAGCCGCGGUAAUACGGAGGGUGCGAGCGUUAAUCGGAAUUACUGGGCGUAAAGCGCGCGUAGGCGGUCUGAUAAGCCGGUUGUGAAAGCCCCGGGCUCAACCUGGGAACGGCAUCCGGACCUGUCAGGCUAGAGUGCAGGAGAGGAAGGUAGAAUUCCCGGUGUAGCGGUGAAAUGCGUAGAGAUCGGGAGGAAUACCAGUGGCGAAGGCGGCCUUCUGGACUGACACUGACGCUGAGGUGCGAAAGCGUGGGUAGCAAACAGGAUUAGAUACCCCGGUAGUC
rnacentral:rRNA from 1 species